CUUUCCUGAGCAGGAAAGAGACCAGCUAAAGUAGCAUGUAAUAUCCUUCCUACUCCCAUGCAGCUGGCUGAGGCUUCUCUUUCCUCUGGUCAAAUCUGAUUUGUAUUUCUUCUUGGUUAAUACCCCCCAGAGUGUUCCAGGCUGCUUUCUGCCUG
rnacentral:lncRNA from 1 species